GACGAACGCUGGCGGCGUGCCUAACACAUACAAGUCGAGCGAUGAAAUCCCUUCGGGGAUGGAUUAGCGGCGGACGGGUGAGUAACACGUGGGUAACCUGCCUCAAAGUGGGGGAUAGCCUUCCGAAAGGAAGAUUAAUACCGCAUAAUAUUAGAUUUUCGCAUGAAGAACUAAUUAAAGAAGUAAUUCGCUUUGAGAUGGACCCGCGGCGCAUUAGCUAGUUGGUGAGGAAAUGGCUCACCAAGGCGACGAUGCGUAGCCGACCUGAGAGGGUGAUCGGCCGCAUUGGAACUGAGACACGGUCCAGACUCCUACGGGAGGCAGCAGUGGGGAAUAUUGCACAAUGGGGGAAACCCUGAUGCAGCAACGCCGCGUGAGUGAUGAAGGUCUUCGGAUUGUAAAGCUCUGUCUUUUGGGACGAUAAUGACGGUACCAAAGGAGGAAGCCACGGCUAACUACGUGCCAGCCGCCGCCGUAAAAC
rnacentral:rRNA from 1 species